CAAUAGCGUAUAUUAAAGUUGUUGCAGUUAAAAAGCUCGUAGUUGGAUUUCUGGAUCGAACGCUUCGUCCGCCGCUGUGCGGUGUGUACUGAGGUUUUGUUUCGAUUCAUCCUUGCAGGGAAGCGAGUUCGAGAUUAAUUUGUCGGCUCGGGGAACUGCAUCUUUUACUGUGAAAAAAUUAGAGUGUUUAAAGCAGGCAUUUUGCUGUGAAUACAUUAGCAUGGAAUAAUAACAUAGGACUUUGGUUCUAUUUUGUUGGUUGGAGGCCAAGGUAAUGAUUAAUAGGGACAGUUGGGGGUAUUCAUAUUUAAUUGUCAGAGGUGAAAUUCUUGGAUUUAUGAAAGAUGAACUCAUGCGAAAGCAUUUACCAAGGAUGUUUNCAUUAA
rnacentral:rRNA from 1 species